rnacentral:rRNA from 1 species
UACGUAGGGUGCUAGCGUUGUCCGGAAUCAUUGGGCGUAAAGCGCGUGUAGGCGGUCCGGUAAGUCUGCUGUGAAAGUCGAGGGCUCAACCCUCGAAUGCCGGUGGAUACUGUCGGGCUAGAGUACGGAAGAGGCGAGUGGAAUUCCUGGUGUAGCGGUGAAAUGCGCAGAUAUCAGGAGGAACACCAAUUGCGAAGGCAGCUCGCUGGGACGUUACUGACGCUGAGACGCGAAAGCGUGGGGAGCGAACAGG